UGCGUAGACGGUUAUGUAAGUCGGGUGUGAAAGCCCCGGGCUCAACCUGGGAAUUGCAUUCGAGACUGUGUAGCUAGGGUACGGAAGAGGGAAGCGGAAUUUCAGGUGUAGCGGUGAAAUGCGUAGAUAUCUGAAGGAACACCAGUGGCGAAAGCGGCUUCCUGGUCCAGUACCGACGUUCAGGCACGAAAGCGUGGGGAGCAAACA
rnacentral:rRNA from 1 species